CCACAAUCCAAUCUAUUUACCCAAUUACCCAACCCAAAUCUGAGAUUCAAUCCCAGGGCUUGCUCAGUGUUAUUAAUCGUCGCCUCGACGGCCUCGUCUAUGCAAGACUGCAACUCCAGUCACUCACACUCACACCUCACACUCACACUCACACUCACACUGCCAGUUCGCCUCCAUUGAGUCCGCCCGUACGCCGCCGGUCGCCUCCAGGAUCCGCCGCUCCAGCAACUUGUCUAGUAUUAGUAACUAUAGUUGUCUCCAUUCUUCGGUUCAUUUCUAAAAAUUUUCCAUUGAUUUGAUGAAUUUUAUCAACUGAUAUAUAUAUAUAUAUAUUGUUAGAUCUGUAGAAUUUAAUAGAUUUUAGAUUUUUAGUGGUGACCUCAUCUGGUUCCUAUGGAACACGAAAACUGGGAAGGAAAAUGAAGAGUCAAAUGCUCAAAUAUAAAAGUGCACUGUCUUCUCUUCUGGGAAACUAGCGAAUUAGGCAGGCUUGUAUAUAAUUCAUCAGAUUGUCUAUAUUUUGGCAUGAUUACCAUUUACCAGCUGGACACCAUGAUCUGUUACUUCAUUUCAAACCAUAUUUUAUCCAUUGUUUUGUUCAUAAAUUUGUAUUUACCUGAGGCACGUUAAGACACAUUUAUGAAAUUCUUUUGUAAAUGUAUGAUCGUCAAAUCAUAUGCGGAUCUAUUACAGUAUUAAUUGAAGGAAUUGAAUCAAUUGAUUUGGAUAACUUCUUAUAAUGUGAAAAUGGCCUAAAUUUAAUUUUAUGUAAAUUUGAUAAUGUGUAAGUUAAAGUAUCAUAAUGAUUAUUUAGAAAUAAAGAGCGCAAUAAAUUUUGUGUCAUAUCACAAAUAUAAUGUGACCUUAAGUAGUGUAUAAAUAUUUUCUAUAAUAUAUUUGGUUGUUGUUUUAAUGUUAGGUUUUAUCUAACAAUAAGUCGCAUAAUAUACUGUUGAAUUUUACAUUUACGUUGAUUUCGCUGGGGGCCCAAUUUAUGGAAUUCGCCUAAGGUCCUAACAAUCGCAAGGCUAGCCUUGCUAAAACCCCGAAUUUCUUUUUCGAAACUAACUUCAAAAGCCAUUUGUUUUUCUUCAUCUUACCUAAAGUAGGCUUUUCAGAACCCAAUUAGCAAAAAUCCCAGAUUUUCUGGCGCAGGAAGAUUCUGCACAAUUCGACUUGUUGAAACAGAAGAUUUUGUCAUGGGUUUAUUUUAUAGGUGUUGCAGGAGUUGUAGCUUAUGUUCUUAAUGUGGCAUGGAUUGAUGGCUCCACUGGAUUUGGUAAACCCUUCAUUGAUGCUGUUUGGAGCAUUUCCGAGAGCCCUAAGGUUGAAUUUAGACACUGUUUGGUUCAGAUUGGUUCA
rnacentral:lncRNA from 1 species